UCCACGGCAGAGCCCACUGACCCGGCGCGCAACGAAGGGACUCGUAUCAGCUCGCGUCGCGUUCGCCCAAAGCCCCGGGCAGCGCCGCCCCCUCGGCGCGGAGCUUCGGCUGGGGGCAAGAACCGCGCGCCGCUAGACACGCACCGUGCGCGGCAGCGCCGCCAGCCUUCCUCCUCGCUGCCCCGGAGGGCGAAGCCCCGGCUCCUCAGACCCUUGCUGCGCCGCAACAGCGCCGGAAUACGCCCCGCCUCGCCGCCGCGUUCGCUGUGUCGCCCCCGGAGGAGGCCGCGAGCCCCGUGCCCCGGCCGGAGGAUGUGCGCCCCCGCGGGCCGCCCCGCCUGAGCCAUGCGCCCCAACGGCGGCGGCGCGCCGGCCGGCAUGGAGCCCCGCGCGGCCGCGCUCUGACUCGCUGUGCGCCCCGCGGCCGGCGGGCGGCGGGCGGCGGCGGACCGAGAGCCGGAGACCGGCGCCGCGGGACGGAAGCGAGCGGGCGCGGGCGCCGCGCAGAUGGCCGGGGCGAGCCAGGUCUGAGGCCCCGCUCCCCGAAACGUGACCAUGUGGAUUCAACAGCUUUUAGGACUCAGCUCCAUGUCCACCCCCUGGCCGGGCUGCGCCCUCAGAAGCCACGCUUGGAUACUUAUAGCCAUGUUUCAGCUCACGGUGGAUCUGCCCACCUGUGAGUCCCUGGGCCCCGGCCCCGAGUUCCGGCUCCUGCCACGCCCAUCGCCCCGGCCGCCCCGGUUGUGGAGUUUUAAAAGUGGACAGCCAGCACGGGCCCCGGUCCCCGUGUGGAGUCCCCGGCCGCCCCGCGUGGAGCGGGCGCACGGACAGAUACAGACAGCCAGAGCCAAGUGGGCCCACAGGCCCAGGGACCAGGCAGCUGCCCUUGCUCCUAAAGGGGGGCUCUCCAGGCCCCCAGCUGCAGCCAAAUCCAGCCCUUCCCUCGCCUCCCCCUCCUCAUCCUCGCCCUCCAUGGUGGCCGGCGGGGCCAUGGAACAGCAGGCCCUCCUGAGGAGGGGGAGGAGGCACCUGCAGGGGGACGGCCUCAGCAGCUUUGAGUUCAGAGGCGGCCGGCCCACCACAGAGGCUGAGUUCAUCGCCUGGGGACCCACGGGGGACGAGGAGGGCCUGGAGUCCAACACAUUUCCGGGCAUUUACGGCCCCACCACAGUCUCCAUCUUACAAACACGGAAGACAACUGUGGCCACCACCACCACCACCACGGCCACCCCCACGACGCUGCAGACUAAGGGGUUCACCGAGUCCCUGGACCCCCGGAAAAGGAUCCCAGUCGGGGUUAGCACAACGGAACCCUCUACCAGUCCCGGCAGCAAUGGGAAAGACAUCAGGCCCCCGCGGAUCCUGGGGGAGACCUCAGGUCUGGCUGUCCAUCAGAUCAUCACCAUCACCGUCUCGCUCAUCAUGGUCAUAGCUGCUCUCAUCACAACUCUUGUCUUAAAAAAUUGCUGUGCCCAGAGCGGGAACACACGUCGGAACAGCCACCAGCGGAAGACCAACCAGCAGGAAGAGAGCUGCCAGAACCUGACGGACUUCACCUCGGCCCGCGUGGCCAGCAGCCUGGACAUUUUCACGGCCUACAACGAGACCCUCCAGUGCUCACAUGAGUGUGUCAGGGCAUCUGUCCCUGUGUACACUGACGAGACGCUGCACCCGGCAGGGGAGUACAAAUCCACGUUCAAUGGAAACCGGCCGUCCUCCUCUGAUCGGCAUCUCAUUCCCGUGGCCUUUGUGUCUGAGAAAUGGUUUGAAAUCUCCUGCUGACUGGCCGAAGCCUUUUUUACCUCCUGGGGGCAGGGCAGACGCCGCGUGUCUGUUUCACGGAUUCCGUGGGUGAACCUGUAAAAACAAAACAAAACAAAACAAAAAAAUUACAAAACCUAAAACUAAGAUAUCUAAGGGGGAGGGUCCCCGACCUGCCGCUUCUGUUUGUCGGCGGGAAACUCACAGAGCAGGACGCUCGAGGCCAAAUAUAUUUUUGUACAAAUGCUCACGCCUAUGGGUGACUGCCUUCUCCCGGAGUUUUCUUUGGAGAACGGAAAGAAGAUAAACAAGAAAGGAACUGGGGUCAGAGAGAAAAGGCCACCAAGCCGGAAGGACCGGAGGAAGCACGUGAAACGAGGAUUUGUCCUACGAUUCUGAACCUGUGCCAAUAAUACCAUUAUGUGCCAUGUACUGACCUGAAGGCUCGGCGGCCGCGCCGAAGCCCAGCAAGUCACUCGUAGAAAAUCUUAACAGAAAACAGGGGUGGGAGUCUCUUCCGAUAGAGUCGCUAUUUCUGGUUAAUAUACAUAUAUAAAUAUAUAAAUACACACAGACACAGACACACACACACACUUUUUUUGUACCGUAGCAAUUUUUGGAGACCUUCAACGUUCCUUUUUAAAAAAGAAUUGUGUUAUAGGUUACGAAAUCCGAUUUAUUUACCAUGCUUAGUACAAACAGAAUAAACCGAGGUUUUCUACUUUGGCAAGCCACCUCACACACGGUCGGCACACGCGCACACACACGCUCGCAUAUAUAUACACGCAUAUAUUGGAAACACAGUUCCACAGGUGAGCACCCUCUUUCUGGUAACCUGGUAUUCCAUCACCAUUCGUUCCGGGGCGCAGCCUCAACCCAGACAACCAGGCCUUUAAGUGACACGUCCUGCAUUUGCUAGAUGUUUGGUGAGUGGCACCAAAUGUGUGAUUUGUUACCUUGGGCCAGAAUUAAGAAUGUCAUGGUUUUUAUAUAUGUAUGUGUAUAUAUAUAUAUAUAUUUGUAUGUGUG